rnacentral:misc_RNA from 1 species
UCAAACUUGGUCAUUUAGAGGAAGUAAAAGUCGUAACAAGGUUUCCGUAGGUGAACCUGCGGAAGGAUCAUUAACAAAUCCUUUGUUGUUUUGUGAUUAUUGCUUCUAAUUAUUUGCAUUGCUAUUCUAUUGUUUCAUUUGUUCUUGAAUGAGUGGGAUGGUAUGAUACAUGUGAAUGAUACGAACAAUGAUCAUAAACACAUUCGUUCCAUGUGCAACUCAUCCUUGUGCAUGACAACAUUUCUACGAAUUAGCUGAUUGUACACAUAAUAAUUAUAAAUAAUGACUUUUAACAAUGGAUCUCUAGGCUCUUGCAUCGAUGAAGAACGCAGC